GGUCUCUGUGCUGGGCGGCUGUCUGCCCGCCUAACUGCCUCUCUUGCUCUGAAGGAGGCAGGGGCUGGGCCUGCAGCUGCCUGGGCAGAGCGG
rfam:Myotis lucifugus cont2.39994, whole genome shotgun sequence.